UACGUAGGGUGCAAGCGUUAAUCGGAAUUACUGGGCGUAAAGCGUGCGCAGGCGGUUCUUUAAGACAGAUGUGAAAUCCCCGGGCUCAACCUGGGAACUGCAUUUGUGACUGUAGAGCUGGAGUACGGUAGAGGGGGAUGGAAUUCCGCGUGUAGCAGUGAAAUGCGUAGAUAUGCGGAGGAACACCGAUGGCGAAGGCAAUCCCCUGGACCUGUACUGACGCUCAUGCACGAAAGCGUGGGGAGCAAACAGG
rnacentral:rRNA from 1 species